rnacentral:rRNA from 1 species
AUAUCACGAUGAAAACACCAGUUCUAGUUCGAUCACCGGAGUUAAGCAUCGUAGAGCCAGGUCAGUACUUAUUUGAUGGGGUACGCUUGGGGAAACCUUUGUACUGUAAG